UCCUUCUAAAGCUAAAUAUUGGCGAGAGACCGAUAGUGAACAAGUACCGUGAGGGAAAGAUGAAAAGAACUCUGAAAAGAGAGUCAAACAGAACGUGAAAUUGCUGAAAGGGAAGCAUUUGGAGUCAGAUGCGUCUUCAUGUCAUUACCACCUCAGUGGCAGAGGCUGAGUGUUGGUUACUUGAUGGACGGGCCAGCACUCACGUAGGCCAUUGGAAAAGGGGUCAUGGAAUGUAGCUCAAGUUUUUGAGUGAUUAUAGCCUUGAUUCAUAUACAAUGUGUCCUUUAUGUGUGAUUGAACAGCACGGGUCUUUGACUCAGUGCUUGAUUGACUGGCAUAAUGGCUCUAAGUGACCCGUCUUGAAACACGGACCAAGGAGUCUAACAUGUAUGCAAGUAUUAGAGUGAUUGAAACUCUAAAUGCGCAAUGAAAGUGGUCUUGACUGAGAAUCCUUCAAUGAAUGAGGGGGAGGCAUCAGUACCCCGAGUCUGUUAGUCUUUGACUGAAGAUUUGGAGGUAGAGCAUAUAUGUUGGGACCCGAAAGAUGGUGAACUA
rnacentral:rRNA from 1 species